CUACGGGUGGCACCAGUGGGGAAUAUUGCACAAUGGAGGAAACUCUGAUGCAGCAACGCCGCGUGGAGGAUGACACUUUUCGGAGCGUAAACUCCUUUUAUAUAGGAAGAAGAUGACGGUACUAUAUGAAUAAGCGCCGGCUAACUCCGUGCCAGCAGCCGCGGUAAUACGGAGGGCGCAAGCGUUACUCGGAAUCACUGGGCGUAAAGAGCGUGUAGGCGGAUUAAAAAGUCAGAAGUGAAAUCCUGUAGCUUAACUAUAGAACUGCUUCUGAAACUCUUAAUCUAGAAUAUGGGAGAGGUAGAUGGAAUUUCUGGUGUAGGGGUAAAAUCCGUAGAGAUCAGAAGGAAUACCGAUUGCGAAGGCGAUCUACUAGAACAUUAUUGACGCUGAGACGCGAGAGCGUGGGGAGCAAACAGGAUUAGAUACCCCAGUAGUC
rnacentral:rRNA from 1 species